rnacentral:tRNA from 1 species
GCUGAAAUAGCUCAGUUGGGAGAGCGUCAGACAAUAGAUCGAAAGUCCCUGGAUCGAUCCCGGGUUUCGGCA